rnacentral:rRNA from 1 species
GACGAACGCUGGCGGCAUGCCUAACACAUGCAAGUCGAACGGAACUUGUUGAAUGAAGUUUUCGGAUGGAUUUUAGCAAGUUUAGUGGCGGACGGGUGAGUAACGCGUGAGUAAUCUGCCUUAGAGUGGGGGAUAACGCUCCGAAAGGAACGCUAAUACCGCAUAAUAUAGAGGAACCGCAUGGCUCCUCUAUCAAAGAUUUAUUGCUUUAAGAUGAGCUCGCGUAUGAUUAGCUAGUUGGUGAGGUAACGGCUCACCAAGGCGACGAUCAUUAGCCGGACUGAGAGGUUGAACGGCCACAUUGGGACUGAGACACGGCCCAGACUCCUACGGGAGGCAGCAGUGGGGAAUAUUGCGCAAUGGGGGGAAACCCUGACGCAGCAAUGCCGCGUGAAGGAUGAAGGUUUUCGGAUUGUAAACUUCUUUUACUGAGGACGAAACAAAUGACGGUACUCAGAGAAUAAGCCACGGCUAACUACGUG